CUGCUAUUCCCUCCGUCCAACAAAAGAUGUCUCAAGUUUGUCAAAAUUUAGAUGUAUCUAGACAUGACUUAGUGUAUAGAUGUAUUCAAAUUUAGUCAAAGUUGAGACAUCCUUUGUUGGACGGAGGGAGUAGAAU
rfam:Brachypodium distachyon strain Bd21 chromosome 4, whole genome shotgun sequence.